rnacentral:rRNA from 1 species
CUACGGGUCGCACCAGUCGCGAAUCUUCCGCAAUGCACGAAAGUGUGACGGAGCGACACCGCGUGGUGGAUGAAGCCCUUAGGGGCGUAAACACCUUUUAUGAGGGAGGAAGUUUAUUGACGUUACCUCAUGAAUAAGGGGCUCCCAAUUCUGUGCCAGCAGGAGCGGUAAUACAGAAGCCCCAAGCGUUACCCGGAUUCACUGGGCGUAAAGGGUGCGUAGGCGGUUAUAUUAGUCGGGUGUUAAAUUGUAGGGCUUAACCUUACAGCCGCAUCCGAAACGGUAUAACUAGAAGAAGUGAGAGGUGUACGGAACUCAAGGUGUAGGGGUGAAAUCCGUUGAUAUCUUGGGGAACACCAAAUGCGAAGGCAGUACACUGGCACUUUCUUGACGCUGAGGCACGAAAGCGUGGGUAGCGAACGGGAUUAGAUACCCCGGUAGUC